GAUUUCGGGUGGGUGUUAGCGGUCCGGCUCUGCUGUGUACUGCUAAUGCCUACCUUUCUGUCGGGGACGGGCUCUUGGGCUUAACUGUCCGGGACUCGGAGUCGGCGAGGUUACUUUGAGUAAAUUAGAGUGUUCAAAGCAGGCGUUCGCUAUGAAUACAUUAGCAUGGAAUAACAUGAUAGGACUCUGGCUUAUCUUGUUGGUCUGUAAGACCGGAGUAAUGAUUAAGAGGGACAGUCGGGGGCAUUCGUAUUUCAUUGUCAGAGGUGAAAUUCUUGGAUUUAUGAAAGACGAACUUCUGCGAAAGCAUU
rnacentral:rRNA from 1 species